rnacentral:rRNA from 1 species
GUAGUUAUAUUCUGAAUUGGUAAAUCCGUUCGGGAUGAUGAAACCUGAUAGUACAGCAAAGCUUCGGCCGCGCUGAUAGUGUCCCUAAUCAGACUUCCAAGAAAAACUUCUAAGGUUCGUUUAUAGCAGCCCGUACCGUAAACCGACACAGGUAGUCGAGAUGAGUAUUCUCAGGCGCUCGAGUGAUCCGUGGUAAAGGAACUAGGCAAAUUGACGCUGUAACUUCGGGAUAAGGCGUGCCACAGUGAUGUGGCCUCAGUAAAAUGGUACAACCAACUGUUUAACAAAAACACAGGGCCCUGCAAAAUCGAAAGAUGACGUAUAGAGCCUGAUACCUGCCCGGUGCUGGAAGGUUAAGGAAGGAUGUUCGGAGCAAUCCAAAGCUUCUGACUGAAGCCCCAGUAAACGGCGGCCGUAACUAUAACGGUCCUAAGGUAGCGAAAUUCCUUGUCGGGUAAGUUCCGACCUGCACGAAUGGUCUAAUGAGUUGUACACUGUCUCUACCACGAGCUCGGUGAAAUUGUAGUAUCGGUGAAGAUGCCGGUUAAUCGCAACGGGACGGAAAGACCCCGUGAACCUUCACUACAACUUAACAUUGAUUUUGAAUGCCAGAUGUGUAGGAUAGUUGGGAGACUAUGAAGCAGCUUCGCCAGGAGUUGUGGAGUCAUCGUUGAAAUACCAACCUUCUGUUAUUUAGAGUCUAAUCCCUGCAAGGGGAGACAUUGUUUGGUGGGUAGUUUGACUGGGGUGGUCGCCUCCUAAAAGGUAACGGAGGCUCGCAAAGGUACCCUCAGUACGGUUGGUAAUCGUACGCAGAGCGCAUUAGUAUAAGGGUGCUUGACUGUGAGGCCAACAAGCCGAGCAGGUGCGAAAGCAGGCUAAAGUGAUCCGGUGGUUCUGUAUGGAAGGGCCAUCGCUCAAAGGAUAAAAGGUACUCCGGGGAUAACAGGCUGAUCUCACCCAAGAGCUCAUAUCGACGGUGAGGUUUGGCACCUCGAUGUCGGUUCGUCACAUCCUGGGGCUGGAGAAGGUCCCAAGGGUUCGGCUGUUCGCCGAUUAAAGUGGCACGUGAACUGGGUUCAGAACGUCGCAAGACAGUUCGGUCCCUAUCUGUUGUGAUCGUUAGUAAAUUGAGAGGACAUGACCUUAGUACGAGAGGACCGGGUCGUACGUACCGCUGGUGUAUCUGUUGUGCCGCCAGGUGCAGUGCAGAGUAGCUAUGUACGGAUAGGAUAAACGCUGAAAGCAUCUAAGCGUGAAACCUGCUUCAAGAUGAGUUUACUUUUAAGGGCCGUCGGAGACUACGACGUUGAUAGGUUACAGGUGUAAGGGUGGUAACAUCGCAGCCGAGUAAUACUAAUUGCCCGUAAGCUUUAAUUUU